CCCCUCAGAGAGCAGCCCUGUCCUGGCCCCUCCACCUCCAUCCAGCCUGCCCGCUCCAGUGCAGUUUGUCUUACAACCAUGGAGUCCCUACCGGGGGUGCUCCCUUCGGUCGGUCCCAAGAGCAAUGAAGUCUCAUUUCUGCCCCUUGCUGUUGUAUCUCAGGUACUUUUCUGCUUUCGAACGCUGGAUGCCACCACAUAUUUUUGCUCUAAACAUGAAGACUUCUCAAUUAUUCCUCAUUCCUCGAACACUCCAGCAGGCCAUGUGAAGAUGGACAUGCAGGAUGAAGGCCAUGUGGCUACAGAGACAGAGAUUGGAAUGAUGUGUUUACGAGGCCAGGACCACUGCAAUUGCUGGCCAUCAGCGGAAGCCAAGAGAAGGCAGGAAGGAUUUUCCCCAGGAGUCUUCAGAGAGCCUGGUCCUGCUGAUGCCUUGAUUUCAGACUCUGGCUCCCAGAACUGUGAGAGAAUAAACUCCUGUUGUUUCAGGUCACCCAGUUUGUGGCAAUUUGUUACAGCAGCCCCUGGACUAACACAGGCCUGGAAACACCCAUGAACACCCACCACGAACUUGGCCUGAAUGUUAGGAAACACAUUGCAACGUUACUUCUCUGCUUGUUUUAUAAUGAUUAUUUCCAGUCUCUUGUUCAGUCUCUUGUAGAUAAAUUUGAGACCCUUCAAUGAGAACUGGGACUUGUCAGCUCCAGCUUUUUCCUGCCCUUUCUCUGCCACACCUGACUG
rnacentral:lncRNA from 1 species